GCCAAGCGGGGAGUGGGGGAGCACGGUGGGGGAGGGGGACCGCUGCCGCAAUGCGCGCUUUCCUGGGAGCCCAGAUGGAGAGGGGGCGCCGAGCGCGCGCGCCGCGGGCUGUGCUUGCGCGCCCCCGCCUGGGGCUAUAAAAGCCUCAUCACCUGCGGCCACUGAGCCUCCAGUGGUCCGGAGAAGCCAAUUCACCCUCUCCAGCGCCAUCUCCGCUCGACAUGGACCCUGAGACCUGCCCCUGUCCUACCGGAGGGUCCUGCACCUGCGCUGGCGCCGACUCCUGCAAGUGCGAGGGAUGCAAAUGCACCUCCUGCAAGAAAAGCUGCUGCUCCUGCUGCCCGCCUGAGUGCGAAAAAUGCACCAAGGAGUGUGUGUGCAAAGGCGGAGAGGGGCCGGAGGCCGAGGCUCAGAAGUGCAGCUGCUGCGAUUGAGAUGAGGACCUGCCCCUCCAGGAAACACGUGUAAAUAGUGCUGAGUGGCCCAGGGCCACCUUCCCUGCGGGAGGGUGGGGGGGGGUCUUGGCUGUGUGCCCCCCACUCCUGCAAGUGACAAUAAAGCCUAUGAAUGGCAUAA